rnacentral:rRNA from 1 species
CUCACCAGGUCAGGACACGGUAAGGAUUGACGGACUGAAGGCUCUUCUCGAUUCCGUGGAAAGUGGUGCAUGGCCGUUUUGGUUGGUGGAUCGAUCCGUCUGGUUAAUUCCGUUAACGAACGAGACCUCGGCACUCCGAAUAGCGCGGCGGACGUCGCGGCCUCCGGGCCGUCUUCCGCACGAGCUUCUUAGAGGGACCGUCCCCCGCCGGGGAAGGAGGUGCGAGGCAACGACAGGUCUGUGAUGCCCUUAGAUGUUCUGGGCCGCACGCGCAUUACACUGACGCGUCCAACGGGUGACUCCCGACCCGAAGGGGCCGGGGAAUCCGCAAGGCGCGUCGUGAUGGGGAUUGAACGUUGCAAUUGUUGUUCACGAACGAGGAAUUCCUAGUAGGCGCGGGUCAUCAACCCGCGCCGAUUACGUCCCUGCCCUUUGUACACACCGCCCG